CAUAUCAAUAAGCGGAGGAAAAGAAACCAACAGGGAUUGCCCCAGUAACGGCGAGUGAAGCGGCAACAGCUCAAAUUUGAAAUCUGGCCCCAGGCCCGAGUUGUAAUUUGCAGAGGAUGCUUUUGGCGCGGUGCCUUCCGAGUUCCCUGGAACGGGACGCCAUAGAGGGUGAGAGCCCCGUACGGUUGGACACCAAGCCUUUGUAAAGCUCCUUCGACGAGUCGAGUAGUUUGGGAAUGCUGCUCUAAAUGGGAGGUACAUUUCUUCUAAAGCUAAAUAUUGGCCAGAGACCGAUAGCGCACAAGUAGAGUGAUCGAAAGAUGAAAAGCACUUUGAAAAGAGGGUUAAACAGCACGUGAAAUUGUUAAAAGGGAAGCGCUUGUGACCAGACUUGCGUCCGGUGAAUCACCCAGCUCUCGCGGCUGGGGCACUUCGCCGGCACAGGCCAGCAUCAGCUUGCCGUCGGGGACAAAAGCUUCAGGAACGUAGCUCCUCUCGGGGAGUGUUAUAGCCUGUUGUAUAAUACCCUUCGGCGGGCUGAGGUACGCGCUCCGCAAGGAUGCUGGCGUAAUGGUCAUCAGCGAC
rnacentral:rRNA from 1 species